rnacentral:lncRNA from 1 species
GGGGUGGGAAUGGAGUGGGGAGAUCUGACUCUGCAGCCAUCCGUCACCCACGCCUGCUUGGACAUCGCCAGGCUCAGCUAGAGAAGGCAGAAAAAGUUCCUCCAACUCCUUCCCCAGGCACCUAUGCAGGCUCCACACUCCUGCCUGAACAGCUAUGAUUUUAAAAGCCAUCGAGUCACGAAGAAAAGUGUGCCAGUGUGUGCCGGAUUCAGUUUCCCCCAUGCACCGUUUUCCCCAGUCAGCCCUGCACCUUCCAAGAGGUAUGACCCGAAGGCACACCCUAGUCAGCUCAGGCCCCACAUUCCUGCAAAAAUCAGGCUCCAGGGCUCCCUCAUCGCAGCAUGGGUUCUGCAGGAAGCCCCAGUGCCAAGUGGCUUUCAGAACUGCCUCAGCUAGCAAAGUGGUGGCUAUUUCAGUGACCGACAAAAGCAGCUCCCCCAGCCUCCCUUGGUGUUUGUGGUCCCUUUUGUUCCAGCCAGGCACCAAGAGGAAAAUGCAGCAUCCGUUUGGAAACAAAGGCUCAGGCAGGCUCUCUCCAGUCUGAAAAGCCCACUUUCACUUGAGUUUCAGGUUACUGAGAGGUUAAGAAUUGCCAAAAAAGACCUGUACCUUCCCUCUGAUAUUCCCUGGGGUUAGUUCUUCUCUCCUCCUUCUGCCAAGAAACCACUGAGAAGUGUCUCAGAAGAGCUAAGGGCUGCCCCAGGUGGUUUUGUGGGAGGUGAGU